rnacentral:lncRNA from 1 species
CUAACUUGUAUUUUGGUCAAUGAAAACCUUAGCUGGCUUGAUUUUGGCGACCAGCUGUCAUCCAAUAUUUUCUAUUUGGGGGAUUAGUUUUAGUUGCUGAUAAUGGACCAUUAGUGACCAAUUUUUUGGUCGGCCAAACUCAUUUUUCUUGUAUUUUUUGAAUUGGGUUUAGUCUGUUUUCUUGUUCUAUCCCUAAUCAAUUGAUAGGUAGUUAAAUCCGUUUUAGUAUGAGGAUUAGUGUUAGGUCCACAUUCAGAGUUUGAAAUUGAAUCAUUGUCUUCACCUUCUAAGGUGUCAUGUUCUUCUCCUUCUUUGUGAAUUUCAAGUUGUGGACGUUCAAAAUCUGAGACAUCAAUUGGCUUCACCUCAAUUUGGACCUCGUAAGUAUCUAAUAAGAUAUUUAGGUCCUUAUUUUUAUUAUUAUCACUGCAUAUUGGCUCAAAAUUUCAAUACAGCAUCUCUAAUUCAUUAAAAACAACAUCUCUCCGCUUAAAAUGAAUUGAAUGCUUUCUUCCCCUUUCACCACUCCCUCAGGGUACCCCAAAAUACACAUUUUAUUGCCCUAGGAUUCAACUUAUCCUUUCUUCUGUGAGCUAAAGCUGAGUAGCCAAAGAAUCUAAGUUGGAUAAAAUUGAAAAUGAUAAGGAUAACAUUAUUAAUUAAGUUGAAAUGAAAAGAUGAGAACUAUCUUGCAUAGAAAAACUAUUGGAAAGUUAGCUUUUUUGUUUUUAUCACUCUUAUAAGAGUUUCAAAUGUUUGUAAUAUGUGACAAUUUGAUAAUCAUUAUCGAGGCUUUUUAGUUUUUAAGUUUCUUAUUUGUUCUUCUUUAAUUUGCAAAUUUAAGUCUUCUUGGUCCGUCUUUUCAUGUGAAAAAUUUAUAAUAUAUACUUGUGUAUAAAAAUUUAAAGAUGUUAUGAGUUGUUUCAUGUUAAGGAUGUUAUGAGUUGUUUCAUGUUAGUCGUAACGGUUGUCCAUUCCCAAGUGACCGAACUACUUUCCUAGAUUUGCUCCCAAGUGGAUAGUAAGUUCUCGUAUGUCUAACCUUGAUAGUCAGGUUUAAUUGAAUAUAUAUGGCUCUAUGCACAUCAUCACUGACAUUGACAAUUAAAGGAGCACAAAAUGUCAGCAUUCUAAAUAUUGGAGAGGAAAUGCGGUACCAAUGUGAAUGCUUGAUAAGUACAAGGAUAAUGUAUGUCUCUUCUUUAUGCCACAAGUAUGAUAUAAGAAUCAAAAUAGGACAUCAAGACUUCUUCUUCUUCUUUUAAUUAGAGAAAAAUAAUGGGAGUCAAAGAAAAAAAAAUUUGAAGUGAUGUUUUCAUAUGAUAUCAUAUUGUUGAAAAUUGCUUCAAUGAUAUUCAAUACAUAUCAUUAUAUCCCUCAUAAUAAUAGAAAUAAGUUCCUAAAUUACAUUUUUUUUC